GAUGAACGCUGACAGAAUGCUUAACACAUGCAAGUCAACUUGAACUUCGGUUUGGGUGGCGGACGGGUGAGUAACGCGUAAAGAACUUGCCUCACAGCUAGGGACAACAUUUGGAAACGAAUGCUAAUACCUGAUAUUAUGAUUAUAUGGCAUCGUAUAAUUAUGAAAGCUAUAUGCGCUGUGAGAGAGCUUUGCGUCCCAUUAGCUAGAUGGAGAGGUAACAGCUCACCAAGGCGAUGAUGGGUAGCCGGCCUGAGAGGGUGAUCGGCCACAAGGGGACUGAGACACGGCCCUUACUCCUACGGGAGGCAGCAGUGGGGAAUAUUGGACAAUGGACCGAGAGUCUGAUCCAGUAAUUCUGUGUGCACGAUGAAGUUUUUCGGAAUGUAAAGUGCUUUCAGUUGGGAAGAAAAAAAUGACGGUACCAACAGAAGAAGUGACGGCUAAAUACGU
rnacentral:rRNA from 1 species